AUUAUAGCUGUCUCUUAUUUAAUUAUAUAAAUUAUCUUUUAGGUGCAGAGACCUAAAUACUGAAGAAAGACAAAAAGACCCUAUUGAUCUUUAUUUUUAUUAGAUUUAUUUAGAUUAUUUACUUAUAAACUAUAAAAAAUUUGGUUGGGGCGACAUAGAAAUACAUAAAUCUUUCUUUUAAUUUAAGAGUUAUAAUUCUUUUUAAGGAUCUAUUUUUUAAUAAACAGAAAUAGUUACCAUAGGGAUAACAGGCUAAUUCUUUUGGAGAGUUCAAAUUGAUAAAAGAGUUUGGCACCUCGAUGUUGGCUUAAGAUAUCCUGAAGGUGUAGCAGCUUUCAAGGGUUGGUUUGUUCAACCAUUAAAAUCUU
rnacentral:rRNA from 1 species